CCUACGGGAGGCAGCAGUGAGGAAUAUUGGUCAAUGGGCGCGAGCCUGAACCAGCCAAGUAGCGUGAAGGAUGACGGCCCUACGGGUUGUAAACUUCUUUUAUAUGGGAAUAAAACGCUCCACGUGUGCCAUUUUGCAUGUACCAUAUGAAUAAGGAUCGGCUAACUCCGUGCCAGCAGCCGCGGUAAUACGGAGGAUCCGAGCGUUAUCCGGAUUUAUUGGGUUUAAAGGGAGCGUAGGUGGAUUGUUAAGUCUGUUGUGAAAGUAUGCGGCUCAACCGUAGAAGUGCAGUGUAAACUGGCAGUCUUGAGUGCGGUAGAGGUGGGCGGAAUUCGUGGUGUAGCGGUGAAAUGCUUAGAUAUCACGAAGAACUCCGAUUGCGAAGGCAGUGUACUGGAGUGCAACUGACACUGAGGCUCGAAAGUGUGGGUAUCGAACAGGAUUAGAUACCCCAGUAGUC
rnacentral:rRNA from 1 species